UACGGAGGUGGCAAGCGUUGCUCGGAAUCACUGGGCGUAAAGGGCGCGUAGGCGGGGAGGUAAGUCGGGUGGGAAAUCCCUCGGCCCAACCGAGGAACUGCGCCCGAGACUGCUUCUCUUGAGUCCCGGAGAGGAAGAUGGAAUUCCCGGUGUAGCGGUGAAAUGUGUAGAGAUCGGGAGGAACACCGGUGGCGAAGGCGGUCUUCUGGACGGUGACUGACGCUGAGGCGCGAAAGCGUGGGGAGCAAACGGG
rnacentral:rRNA from 1 species